rnacentral:rRNA from 1 species
GACGAACGCUGGCGGCGCGCUUAACACAUGCAAGUCGAACGGAAAGGCCUGCCUUCCCUUGUGGAUUGCGGGUACUCGAGUGGCGAACGGGUGAGUAACACGUGAGUGAUCUGCCCCCAACUUGGGUAUAAGCCUGGGAAACUGGGUCUAAUUCCCGAUAGGACUGCAGGGUGGUGCCUGUGGUGGAAAACGAUUUUCUAGUGGUUGGGGAUGAGCUCGCGGCCUAUCAGCUUGUUGGUGGGGUAAUGGCCUACCAAGGCGGCGACGGGUAGCCGGCCUGAGAGGGUGGACGGCCACAUUGGGACUGAGAUACGGCCCAGACUCCUACGGGAGGCAGCAGUGGGGAAUAUGGCACAAUGGGCGGAAGCCUGAUGCAGCGACGCCGCGUGGGGGAUGACGGCCUUCGGGUUGUAAACUCCUUUCGACCGCGAGGAAGCCACCUGGUUGGAAGGGUGGUGACGGUAGUGGUAGAAGAAGCACCGGCUAACUACGUG